rnacentral:rRNA from 1 species
AUUGAACGCUGGCGGCAGGCCUAACACAUGCAAGUCGAACGGUAACAGGAAACAGCUUGCUGUUUCGCUGACGAGUGGCGGACGGGUGAGUAAUGUCUGGGAAACUGCCUGAUGGAGGGGGAUAACUACUGGAAACGGUAGCUAAUACCGCAUAACGUCGCAAGACCAAAGAGGGGGACCUUCGGGCCUCUUGCCAUCGGAUGUGCCCAGAUGGGAUUAGCUAGUAGGUGGGGUAACGGCUCACCUAGGCGACGAUCCCUAGCUGGUCUGAGAGGAUGACCAGCCACACUGGAACUGAGACACGGUCCAGACUCCUACGGGAGGCAGCAGUGAGGAAUAUUGCACAAUGGGCGCAAGCCUGAUGCAGCCAUGCCGCGUGUAUGAAGAAGGCCUUCGGGUUGUAAAGUACUUUCAGCGGGGAUGAAGGGAGUAAAGUUAAUACCUUUGCUCAUUGACGUUACCCGCAGAAGAAGCACCGGCUAACUCCGUG